rnacentral:rRNA from 1 species
AGUCGAACGGUAACGACACUAGCUUGCUAGUGGGCGACGAGUGGCGGACGGGUGAGUAACGCGUAGGAAUCUACCUAGUAGUGGGGGAUAGCCAAGGGAAACUUUGGGUAAUACCGCAUACGAUCUAAGGAUGAAAGGGGGCCUCUCUUUGAAGCUCUCGCUAUUAGAUGAGCCUGCGUAAGAUUAGCUUGUUGGUGAGGUAAUGGCUCACCAAGGCGACGAUCUUUAGCUGGUCUGAGAGGAUGAUCAGUCACACUGGAACUGAGACACGGUCCAGACUCCUACGGGAGGCAGCAGUCGGGAAUAUUGGACAAUGGGGGAAACCCUGAUCCAGCCAUGCCGCGUGUGUGAAGAAGGCCCUAGGGUUGUAAAGCACUUUUAGUAGUGAGGAAGGCUCAGUAGUUAAUACCUACUGGGAUUGACGUUAGCUACAGAAAAAGCACCGGCUAAUUUCGUGUCAGCAGCCGCGGUAAUACGAAAGGUGCAAGCGUUAAUCGGAAUUACUGGGCGUAAAGCGCGCGUAGGCGGCUUGGUAAGUUGGAUGUGAAAGCCCCGGGCUCAACCUGGGAACUGCAUCCAAAACUGCCUAGCUAGAGUAUGGUAGAGGAUGGCGGAAUUUCCUGUGUAGCGGUGAAAUGCGUAGAUAUAGGAAGGAACAUCAGUGGCGAAGGCGGCCAUCUGGACCAAUACUGACGCUGAAGUGCGAAAGCGUGGGGAGCAAACAGGAUUAGAUACCCUGGUAGAAGGGC